GGUGAUGUAGCUCAGCUGGUUAGAGCACAGGAUUCAUAAUCCUUGGGUCGAGGGUUCAAGUCCCUCUUUCACCACCA
rnacentral:tRNA from 1 species